rnacentral:rRNA from 1 species
AUUGAACGCUGGCGGCAUGCUUUACACAUGCAAGUCGAACGGUAACAGGCCGCAAGGUGCUGACGAGUGGCGAACGGGUGAGUAAUGCAUCGGAACGUGCCCAGUCGUGGGGGAUAACGCAGCGAAAGCUGUGCUAAUACCGCAUACGAUCUGUGGAUGAAAGCGGGGGACCGUAAGGCCUCGAGCGAUUGGAGCGGCCGAUGUCAGAUUAGGUAGUUGGUGGGGUAAAGGCUCACCAAGCCGACGAUCUGUAGCUGGUCUGAGAGGACGACCAGCCACACUGGGACUGAGACACGGCCCAGACUCCUACGGGAGGCAGCAGUGGGGAAUUUUGGACAAUGGGCGCAAGCCUGAUCCAGCAAUGCCGCGUGCAGGAAGAAGGCCUUCGGGUUGUAAACUGCUUUUGUACGGAGCGAAAAGGCUCUCUCUAAUACAGGGGGCUCACGACGGUACCGUAAGAAUAAGCACCGGCUAACUACGUGCCAGCCGCCGCCGUAA